rnacentral:rRNA from 1 species
GAUGAACGCUAGCGGCAGGCCUAAUACAUGCAAGUCGAACGCUCAGUAGCAAUACUGGGAGUGGCGCACGGGUGCGUAACGCGUACACAAUCUACCUCUAAGCGGGGACACCUUCUGGAAACGGGGAUUAAUACCGCAUAAUAUGCCGAGGUCGCAUGACUUUGGUAUUAAAGCAGCAAUGCACUUAGAGAUGAGUGUGCGUCCCAUUAGGUAGUUGGUGAGGUAACGGCUCACCAAGCCUAUGAUGGGUAGCCGGUCUGAGAGGAUGGUCGGCCACACGGGCCCAUGAGACACGGGCCCGAUCCUACGGGAGGCAGCAGUAAGGAAUA